rnacentral:rRNA from 1 species
UACAGAGGUCUCAAGCGUUGUUCGGAUUUAUUGGGCGUAAAGAGCGUGUAGGCGGCUAGAUAGGUCCGUUGUGAAAACUCGAGACUCAACCUCGAGACGUCGAUGGAAACCAUCUGGCUAGAGUCCGGAAGAGGAGAGUGGAAUUCCUGGUGUAGCGGUGAAAUGCGCAGAUAUCAGGAAGAACACCCGUGGCGAAGGCGGCUCUCUGGUACGUGACUGACGCUGAGGUGCGAAAGCGUGGGGAGCAAACAGG